AUGAGUAUACUGGUGAUUACGGUAGACCUGCAAUGCUGCCGCUGCAAGAAGAAGAUCAAGAAUGUUCUCGAGUGCCUCAAAGAGGAUUACUGCAUCGAGAAGACUGAGUACGAGGACAAGGACAACAGGGUGAUCGUCCGUGGGAAAUUCGACGCGGAGAAGCUCUGCAAAAAGAUCUGGUGCAAGGCCUGCAAGGCCGUCAAGGAGAUCGAGAUCGUAAAACAAUGGCCGCCGCCGCCCCCAUGCCCAGACAAGCCAAAGAAACCACCAUGCGCAUGCACAUGCCCGCCUCCGCCCGAGCCGCCAAAACCAUGUCCAUGUCACCCGAAGCCAUGCCCGCCGGCUCCAACCAAGCCUUCGAAACCACCAUGCGCAUGCACAUGCCCGCCUCCGCCCGAGCCGCCAAAACCAUGUCCAUGUCACCCGAAGCCAUGUCCGCCGGCUCCUGAGCACAAACCAUGCAAACCUGAGGCCAAACCAUGCCCGGCGGAGCACAAACCAUGCAAACCUGAGCACAAACCAUGCAAAACUGAGGCCAAACCAUGCACUGAGCCGGAAAAGAAAACGCCGCCGCCGCCGCCGCCCAAACCAACAUACAAGUUCGUGCCAUACCCGUACCCGCUGCCGUACCCUAUGCAGUGCCAGAGCUCGCCGUGGAACUGCCCUCCGCAGCAGUGUCACUGCUGCCUUGCCGAUAAGCCACCGCCCCCGCCGCCACCGCCUCCCCCACCGCCGCCGGAGCCCCCCAAGCCGGAGCCCUGUAAGUGCUCGCAGUCGCAACACCCCUCUCACGGCGGCUGUGGCUGCAGCAAGCCGCCUAAUUGCUGGCCACCGCCCACCUGGCCGCCGCAGCAGCCCUGCUUCAUGCCGCCACCAUGGUUCACGGAGGAGAACCCAUCGGAUGCCUGCUCCAUCAUGUGA
rnacentral:rRNA from 1 species